UACAGAGGUGGCAAGCGUUGUUCGGAAUUACUGGGCGUAAAGGGUUCGUAGGUGGCCAACUAAGUCAGACGUGAAAUCCCUCAGCUUAACUGGGGAACUGCGUCUGAGACUGGAUGGCUUGAGUGCAGGAGAGGAACGCGGAAUUCCAGGUGUAGCGGUGAAAUGCGUAGAUAUCUGGAGGAACACCGGUGGCGAAGGCGGCAUCCUGGACCAACACUGACACUGAGGAGCGAAAGCGUGGGGAGCGAACAGG
rnacentral:rRNA from 1 species